CCUACGGGAGGCAGCAGUGGGGAAUAUUGCACAAUGGGGGAAACCCUGAUGCAGCGACGCCGCGUGAGUGAAGAAGUAAUUCGUUAUGUAAAGCUCUAUCAGCAGGGAAGAAAAUGACGGUACCUGAGUAAGAAGCCCCGGCUAACUACGUGCCAGCAGCCGCGGUAAUACGUAGGGGGCAAGCGUUAUCCGGAUUUACUGGGUGGAAAGGGAGCGUAGACGGCAGUGCAAGUCUGGAGUGAAAGGCGGGGGCUCAACCCCCGGACUGCUCUGGAAACUGUACGGCUGGAGUGCAGGAGAGGUAAGUGGAAUUCGUAGUGUAGCGGUGAAAUGCGUAGAUAUUAGGAGGAACACCAGUGGCGAAGGCGGCUUACUGGACUGUAACUGACGUUGAGGCUCGAAAGCGUGGGGAGCAAACAGGAUUAGAUACCCUUGUAGUC
rnacentral:rRNA from 1 species